rnacentral:rRNA from 1 species
UGCCACCGAAUACAUUAGCAUGGGAUAAUGGAAUAGGACCCUGACCUCCUAUUUUCAGUUGGUUUUGUUUACAGCGAGGUUAUAUCAGGGUAAUGAUUAAUAGGGAUAGUUGGGGGCAUUAAUAUUUAAUUGUCAGAGGUGAAAUUCUUGGAUUUAUGAAAGAUUAACUUCUGCGAAAGCGUUUGCCAAGGAUGUUUUCAUUAAUCAAGAACGAAAGUUAGGGGAUCGAAGACGAUCAGAUACCGUCGUAGUCUUAACCAUAAACGAUGCCGACCAGCGAUUAGGAGACGUUGAAUACAAAACACCGCUGUUAAUCCUUUCGGGGGUUAAUAGUUGGUGAAUGACUCCCCUAGCAGCUUGU